UACAGCCACAUCACAUUGAAACACCAGUUCCUGUAAGAUCACUGAAGUUAAAGAAUGUAGAGCCUGGUUAGUACCUGGAUGGGUGACUGCUUAGGAAUACCAGGUUCUGUAU